rnacentral:rRNA from 1 species
UACAGAGGGGGCAAGCGUUGUUCGGAAUUACUGGGCGUAAAGGGCGCGUAGGCGGCCUUCUAAGUCGAACGUGAAAUCCCCGGGCUCAACCCGGGAACUGCGUCCGAGACUGGAAGGCUCGAAUCCGGGAGAGGGAUGCAGAAUUCCAGGUGUAGCGGUGAAAUGCGUAGAUAUCUGGAGGAACGCCGGUGGCGAAAGCGACGUGCUGGACCCCUUCUGACGCUGAGGCGCGAAAGCCAGGGGAGCAAACGGG